rnacentral:rRNA from 1 species
UACGGAGGGUGCAAGCGUUGUCCGGAUUUAUUGGGUUUAAAGGGUGCGUAGGCGGCCCUGUAAGUCAGUGGUGAAAUACUGCAGCUUAACUGCAGCAUUGCCAUUGAUACUGUAGGGCUUGAGUACAGAUGAGGUAGGCGGAAUUGAUGGUGUAGCGGUGAAAUGCAUAGAUACCAUCAAGAACACCGAUUGCGAAGGCAGCUUACUAAGUUGUAACUGACGCUGAGGCACGAAAGCGUGGGGAUCGAACAGG